UACAGAGGGUGCAAGCGUUGUUCGGAAUUAUUGGGCGUAAAGGGCGCGUAGGCGGUGCGGUAAGUCUGUAGUGAAAUCUCUGGGCUCAACUCAGAGUCUGCUGCAGAAACUGCCGUGCUUGAGUGUGGGAGAGGUGAGUGGAAUUCCCGGUGUAGCGGUGAAAUGCGUAGAUAUCAGGAAGAACACCCGUGGCUAAGGCGGCUCUCUAGUACGGGUACUGAACGCUGAGACGCGAAAAGCGUGGGGGAGCGAAACAGG
rnacentral:rRNA from 1 species